rnacentral:lncRNA from 1 species
AACAGUGCUAUUAUAGUGAAAAGAUAUUUCAAGAUACAUCUAUAUUUUAUAUUUUAUAAAUAGUGUUCUUACCCGAAUUAGGGUUUCUAGUCUAAUUAUUUGAGUUUGAACUUUAUGUUUUAUAAGUUGUGCUCUGGAUUUUGUAAUGGAAUCACAGUUUCCUUCUUAUAAUUCAUAUGGUUUUCUUUAAUUUACAUUCUUUUAAACGUAG